CUGGCAGGAUAGAAAGAAAACACGCAAAAGAAAAUGUGGAGUGAAUCUGAUUACUUUUUAACAUUAGAAGAAAACAAUAAAGAUGCAUAUAAAAAAAAUUAACUUUGUCAAAUGGAAUGUUACUCCCUGACCCUUUCGUACUUGAAAAUUGGAAAAACGACGUUUCAAUGAUGCCCGACAUUACAUGGGGUGACAUGUACAAUUACCUUAUUAACUCCCCAAGUAACUUUACACACGAUUCAAUGAAAGCCUAUAAAUCAUUGGAAUCGUACAACUUUUACAUUUGUGGGCAUGUUUAAGAUGUAUACUAUAAUUUAAUUGAAGAAACGAAUGAAUUUUGUUUCAUUAAAUCUGAGGUGCUUCCAAGUCAAAGACAAGGAAAGAAGCAGAAAUGUUACGAAGUGUGGGUUGCAAUAAAUAAAGUUAAUGGGUGGAUUUUAACGGCAAAUUGCAAAUGCAUGGCAGGAUUGGGCUCUGUGUGUAGUCACAUCGGUGC